AGAGGCGCUGGGUGCAAGGGGCAUGAAAACCAGUUUCUUGCGUUUUUUGUUUAUGUUGUAAAGGAGACUGAAAUGACAUAGAGUUUAUGAAAUGCAAUUAUUUCUGCGACGAGUUCAUGUAUAUGAUUGAGAGGAAUGCAGCUACUACUCGGAGGUUUCUUGGCAUUAACACAUCUUAGAAUUUAUAAACAUGAAUCAUCAACAUCCCAGCGGCUUGUUCGGGCCCCUCAACAAGCACUAUAGAUCCCUCAAGCGCGUUUAUAUAAACCUCAAGAGAGGCGUGGAGAUUUCGCUUCGCUUCGUCAACGCUCUGGUAAAAGUAUUCACGCCGAUCGUCUUUUGCUUCUUCUUCGUCUUCAGAAUCGUGGAUAAAAUCGGCAAGUACCUCUCGUGGAUGGCAUAUCAUCCGCUCAGGAGUAUGACAGGCAUAGGCCGCGAUGAGGGGCCGUGGAAGGAGGCUACAGAGGCUGACGAAGAGCUGCGUCGGAAGACAAAUGUUUGUGGAGGACCAGCCGAUAUGCCAAGAGACAGAAAAAAUGGAACCUUCGAAACGUAGCUGAGAAUGAAUUCUUUGAAUAAGCAUGACUAUAUAACUGACAUAAGUACAUGUAUACUGUAGCUAAAUGGCCUUUGAUAUUGAUUACACAAUACAGAAUGUUUGAAAAGA
rnacentral:misc_RNA from 1 species